UACGAAGGGGGCUAGCGUUGUUCGGAAUUACUGGGCGUAAAGCGCGCGCAGGCGGUUCUCCAAGUCAGUGGUGAAAGCCCGGAGCUCAACUCCGGAAUUGCCAUUGAAACUGUUGAACUUGAGGACGAGAGAGGUGAGUGGAAUUCCUAGUGUAGAGGUGAAAUUCGUAGAUAUUGGGAAGAACACCGGUGGCGAAGGCGGCUCACUGGCUCGUUUCUGACGCUCAGGCGCGACAGCGUGGGGAUCAAACAGG
rnacentral:rRNA from 1 species